AGUAAAUUGUGCCCUCAGGGUAAUCAACAACCUUAUGCUCCUGUGCUUCCUGGCCGUCCUGCUCCUGCAGCACCUGUUGCUCCAGUUAUGCCAGGACCAAAAACUAUUUGCCCUAGAUAUCAAAAAGGCUUUCAUUGGGCGCCAGGAAAGUGGAGUGGGAGAAAUCCACCUACGGCUGAAAAGGUUUCAUAUAGACAACUCUCCAAGGAGAAAGAGAGGAAAAACAUCCUGGUCCCCUAGGAGGUCUUCCUCUCCUCCAAGGGAUCCUCAACUAUCUCUGAGAUGAUGAGGUCGAGCCCCGAGAACCAACCCUCACACAGGACCACCACCGAUAAUCAUCCCACUGUCGCCAGCUGUCAGUCCAUCAAGAUCUAGACCCCUCGUAGAGCCUGAUCGACGCAACAAUCCAGGGGUCCGACUUGGGGAGAUAUCAAGAAGCUGACUGCUGAUGCCCAAAGCCUCGUUCUGUCUCAGGACCAGAAUCCAAGCUUAAGUGUUUUUUAUUUGUUGCCUUUUUAUCUAUUCUGUCUAUUAAUUCCGCUCAGUCAUCUUCAGACUUUUAAAAAAGUCUAUUACUAAGGUUUCUACUGAACUUCAUACCUUCAUUCUAAAAAAUAAAAAAGGGGGAAAUGUCGGGAGCCAUAGGGCUGCUCCAGUAAAGAAAGCAAAGCCACAGUCGGCACCUGCAUGAGGCUUGUCUGGUUAGCAGAGCUACAGACAAGCUGAAGAAAGAAGAAGGAUUGCGGAUGCGUGGGGCUUGUCUGGUUAGCAGAGCUACAGACAAGCUGAAGAAAGAAGAAGGAUUGCAGAGCAAUCCCUUGAAAGACAUCGGUUCCAGGAAAAUAAAAAUGAUAUCCCCUAAAAAUAUGUUAAUCUAUUUUUCUGUGUUUAUCUUUCCUUUUCUAUCUCUAUUCACAGCUUUCUUACUGCUAAAGAUUUGCCCUGGGUACGUAAAACACUUGAACCAAAACAGAAUGAAGUUAUUUAAACAAUGUAAUGGAAAAAGCCUUUGUUUUGGAGUAACAAUUUAUGGCACCUAUUUUGUGAGAGUAUACAGGGGAAACUUAUGAUUUCAGUCCCUUUACUUAAAAAGAAGUUUGGGGCUGGGAAAAUGUUGUUUGGCCUAUAAAUUGCUAUUUUCUAUAAUAGAUAUAUUUUUAACAGUGUCACUUGUAGCUUUCAUCCCUUGUGGGGGCAUUUGUUAAUUUUUGGGUAUAAUACUCCUUUCUAUUGAAAUUGGUGGUUUGGAACUUACGUAAAUCAGUACAAUAGGUUAAAUGCUUAGCUUGCUGGCGCCAAAUAAAUCGUGGUUUUAAGAAUGCCAUGAGCCCAAAGCUUUCAUGCGUUUUGUUAACCACAUACACCUUUAGUUAAAGAAUGUUAGGUAUCAUAGUUUAUUACUUAUUAAAGCUUUGUUCUUAAUAUAGAAUAGAAUAGCUACUGUUGUUGACCUUUUAAGAAAAAUACAGUGUGAAACUUUAAGUUUGUAAUCUUGUAGGAAAAUCUGAAGUUGAAAGGAACAUGUUUUAACUGACCUUAUUUUUUGUAUCUCGGGUGGAGGGAACAAAAGGGCUUUAAAUCAAAUGUUAAUGUUAAAUCUUACACGAAAUCUGAUUGUGAAAUGGUAUAAAAACUGAUGCUUUUCAUUUAAUAAAUUGGGUCAUCUGCAGCAU
rnacentral:lncRNA from 1 species